rnacentral:rRNA from 1 species
GAGUUUGAUCCUGGCUCAGGAUGAACGCUAGCGGGAGGCUUAACACAUGCAAGUCGAGGGGCAGCACGAGGUAGCAAUACUUUGGUGGCGACCGGCGCACGGGUGAGUAACGCGUAUGUAACCUACCCUGUACAGGGGGAUAGCCCGGAGAAAUUCGGAUUAAUACCCCAUAAAGAUAUGAAGAGGCAUCUUUUUAUAUUUAAAGUUUCGGCGGUACGGGAUGGGCAUGCGUAACAUUAGCUAGUUGGUAAGGUAACGGCUUACCAAGGCUACGAUGUUUAGGGGUCCUGAGAGGGUGAUCCCCCACACUGGUACUGAGACACGGACCAGACUCCUACGGGAGGCAGCAGUGAGGAAUAUUGGUCAAUGGGCGCAAGCCUGAACCAGCCAUCCCGCGUGCAGGAAGACGGCGCUAUGCGUUGUAAACUGCUUUUCCAGGGGAAGAAAACCUGAUACGUGUAUUGGCUUGCCGGUACCCUGGGAAUAAGCAUCGGCUAACUCCGUGCCAGCAGCCGCGGUAAUACGGAGGAUGCAAGCGUUAUCCGGAUUUAUUGGGUUUAAAGGGUGCGUAGGCGGAUUUAUAAGUCAGUGGUGAAAACCUUCAGCUUAACUGGAGACUUGCCAUUGAUACUGUUAGUCUUGAGUACGGUCAAGGUAGGCGGAAUGUGUAAUGUAGCGGUGAAAUGCUUAGAUAUUACACAGAACACCGAUUGCGAAGGCAGCUUACUGGGCCAUUACUGACGCUGAGGCACGAAAGCGUGGGGAGCGAACAGGAUUAGAUACCCUGGUAGUCCACGCCGUAAACGAUGAUCACUCGCUGUUGGCGAUACACGGUCAGCGGCUAAGCAAAAGCAUUAAGUGAUCCACCUGGGGAGUACGGCCGCAAGGCUGAAACUCAAAGGAAUUGACGGGGGCCCGCACAAGCGGAGGAACAUGUGGUUUAAUUCGAUGAUACGCGAGGAACCUUACCAAGGCUUAAAUG